GCCUUCAGUGCAAAAGCUAUAUAGCUAGUCACAAUUGUUUAACACUCCCGCAGUAGUACAAAAUGACAUGGUAAACCAGUGAGUUCUUGCCUGAUCUGUUGAUACUGAAUAUAAAGAUUGGAUGUAACCCAUAUAUCAAUUAUUCCUGGGCCUAAAAUAAAAUAUUGUUUGUUUCCCCAAUCCCGACCAACCCUGCAAAAACAGUGCUACUCAUAAAAUUUUAUUGUCAAAUUUAAGUCAAACAUUAUUUUAUUCAUUUCCGAUUUUCAGGCUUGCAGGAUCGUCCAAUGUUGUUCAAGCUUUUUGGAAAAAAUCAAAUUAUUUUCCUACCUUCCGACCCACACCUGGCUUGGCAGGGUCGGGAUUG
rnacentral:lncRNA from 1 species